GGAAAGGGGAGCACAUCACAGCACAAACAGUGAGCAGGCUGUCGAUGCGCCUCGCAAAAGUUUAGUGUUACCUGAUUAAAGUUUUCCAUUCAAAUGACACUAUUAAAUAAAUGUGCUGCCACUAAACGCUUACACGAUCAGUAUGCUCACCUCCGCUCUCAAUAAGGACGUCUAGAAGUUCAUCCAUCUGCUGGCUUCUGGUCAUCUGCUGGAAAAGCAUUAAAUUAACUGGAAUCGACAGGAAUGAUAUUCUUCUCAACAAGCUCCAGUGGGCCCGGUCUCAGAGCGAUUUUCUCGUUCAGGUUGUCUGCAAGCCUGGCUCGCUUGAGUUUCGUCUGCGAGUCUUGAGCAGGACCCUCGCUGGCCGUGUCUGCAUGGCAAACAGAAUGCUGGUGUUGUUGGUGUAAUUGUGGUGCAGUUGGCUCUCACAGGACCCAGAGCACCUCUUCAGCACAAGAGCAUUCCAGUGAGGUCAGCUUCACAGUGC